GUAUUCAAAUUUCGAAUAAAAAUUAUAUUCGAAGCAACUUCUUAGUCAGAUACGAAUUUGGACAUACACAGAUUUUUUAUUCGUCAAGUAUCAAAGUUAAAUAAGCGCACUAACAUAAAGUUCAACAAAGUUUAUGAAAGUAAUUUAUUUUUAAAAUGUUGAUGUUUUCGUGUGUCAGAUAGAUUACAGACUAAAAUUAAAAUCUCAAUGAAAAUAAAUCUUAUGAAGCAAAAUUCAAAACAAUCAAUAGUUAAAAUGAAAAUAAAAAAUAAAAUACAAAGUCUAUAGAAGAUAUAAUUAAAAAUAAUAAUUAGAAACCCAGUCAUAAUCAAUUACAAAAAAAAAGAAAACUAUUGAAACUUCCAAAUAAGAAAUAUAAAACAUUGACAUUGAUAUAAAGACCUUAAAUUCAAAAUCGUACAAUUUUCAUAUUUUAGUCAUUCCUCGGUUAAAAUGCGCAGUGAUCAAAAGUCUAGUAUACGCGCCAGCUACACAAUAAAUACACGUAGAAAACAGGAGUCAUAUCACAACAUGAGGCACUUGUUCACUUAGGGGUCGUCCAUUCAUCACGUGAGGGGAAACCUCCCCUCCCCAUGGGGUCCAGAAAAAAAUCACGAAAUAUCAUAUGUAUAUUUAUUUCUAAAUCCUUUAAAAAGGAAAGCUGAAAAUUAUGGGAGCGCCCAACUUCAUUGACCUGGGGCGCUGAAUUUUUAAAUAAGCCACUGAUCGUAGAGUCUAAAAUCUCACCACAUAUCACGACAGUGGGGGGUUUUAAAAUUGCUAAAAACAUCACGUGCUGAAUGGACGACCUCUUUUAUUAUUUACAGCUACUGUCCGUGACCUUACCGCUAUCUCGAAUGUAACACACGAGAAUAUAAUCUAAAUAAAUUUAUUACUUCCUCGAUUUUAUGAACAUUUUAUAUUAUAAUUUACGGAAUACGAUCAGGUAACUGAGUUGAGUCGAGUUUGAACUGUGUUGAGCUGCUCCAUACAUUAAUUCUUCAUUAGAAAAUGUUACUUUACAUUAAUAGAGAUAUUUU
rnacentral:misc_RNA from 1 species